AGGACUUCACAGCCUGAAGCUAGCUCCCCCAAAGCAGGUAUUCCAAAAGAAAGCAAGCAAGGUGGCACCUUCCAGAACUCAUGCCCUGUAACAUCUACCAAUUUGUACACAUUGGAGGAGCACUGUAGCCAGGGCCCGAGGCAGCCACAGCAGACAAAUGUGGGUACCCGAGUCUUCAAGGAGGCCUCUCCUACUGCUGUGCAUCUCACCCAACUGAUGUCCAUCCAGACACUCCCACCCAGCAUGAUUUAUGAUAGAGGGGGAAGCAAGCCUCCUGCAGAAGAGGCAUGGAUGAUGCAGACAGAAUCCCCAAAGACGAUCAUUCUGCAACAAUAAAGUCCAUCAAGCUGUCUUGGAGGGAGACUCUGCUGAACUGCUGUUCUGGAUGCUGCGACCACUGA